GAAAGAAACAUGGAUCGCCUGCCUCCUGCAUGCCUCCUCCUGGGAUUCGAGCCCACAACCCCGGCAUGUGCCCUGACCAGGAAUCCAGGAAUGGAACCGGUGACCUCCUGGUGCCUGGGACAACAUGCAACCAGCUGAGCCCCACCGGCUGAGUACUUCCGUUUUUUUAUUGUAAGUGGUGUCCCAGUGAACACCCUUGCAUAUGUCUUUCUGCAAAUCUGCAUGAGCCUUGCAGGAGUAGGUACCAAGAGUGGAAUUGCUGGGUCCUAAGUUCUGUGCAUGAGUUCUCAUCGACCGUGCAGUCCAGCCCUGUCAACAGCUGAUACUAUCUAACUUAAACUGGUCCAUCUGCUGGGUGAAAAGUGAAGUAGUUGGGUUUUUUUUUGUGUGUGUUUCCCUGAUAAGUGAUAAGAUUAAGCAUCUAUUUGUAUUGGUCAUUUGUAGUUCCUCUCCAAUAAAUUGCCUAUUUGUGUCCUCGACCCAUUUUUCAACUGGGGACUCUUUUAUAUUGAUUUAUGAACAUUUAAAACAGUUUGUAUACUAGUCAUACAUUACAUAUAAGUAUUUUCUUCUACUUUAUUGCUAGUCUGUUAAUUUUGUUUAUGGUGGUGUGUGUGUGUGUGAGAGAGAGAGAGAAAGAGAGAGAGACUGUGUUUGGUCAUAGAGGUUAUAAACUAUGUUACCAGUUUUAUUCCAUUUUUUUCUUUAUGGCUGUUGCUUAAUUCCACAUAUAUAUGAGAUUGCUUCUGAAUUCUGUUCCAUGUACCUGUUAAUUUUACAUUUUAAAUUAUAGUUUUAAAAUAUAUUUUGGUACAAGCAGAUCUUCCCUGUUCUUUUGAUGCUUUUUCUUGACUAUUUUGUACCUUUCAUAUGAGUUUAAUUAUUAGCUUGUCAUACAUACUUCAUGAAAAAUCCUUUUUGUUUUUUCCCAGAGAGGAAGGGGAAGGGAGAGAAAAACAUCAAUGAUAAGAGAGAACCAUUGAUCGACUGCCUCCUGCACGCCCCCUACUGGGGAUCAGGGCUCAAACCUGGGCUUGUGCCCUGACCAGGAAUCAAACCCUGUGACCUGUUGGUUCGUAGGUUGACGCUUCAAUCACUGAGCCGCACCGCCCAGACAUCAGGUUGUCCUUUUACUUGGUUUACAGUAUCUUGUAUUAGAAAUUUUUAAGGCACAUUUUAAAAUACAGAAAACAUGCCCGGCCAUUGUGGCUCAGGGUCAAUUCCCGGUCAGGGCACGUGCCUGGGUUGCGAGCUCAAUCCCCAGUGUGGGGUGUGCAGAAGGCAGCCGAUCAGUGAUUCUCUCAUCAUUGAUGUUUCUGCCUCUCCCUCUCCCUUCCUCUCUGAAAUCAGUAAGAAUAUAUAUAACUUUUUCACCUUAGAACACCCAGAACCAUUAAAAAUCACUUCUCAUUCCCCCUCCUCCCAUCCCUUUUGCAGCCACUAAUCUGUUUUUCUGUCUCCAUGCAUUUGCCUCUUCUGGAUAGUUCUUGUAUGCGGACUCACAACGUGUCUUCUUUCACUUGGUGUAAUGUUUUCAAGGUUAAUUCGAGUUACAGCAUCUAUCCGCCCUUCAUUGCUGCUCGUGACUGAAUGCAGAACCAGACCUGGAUCUGGAGCCACCCAGUCAUCUUACCUGGAAACAGUUGAAGUUCCUGGUUUCCUCCCGUCCUUUCUGCGGGGCCUUGAUGUGUCUGCUUCCGUGCGAUCGCGCUCUCCUACCGUAAAUACAGGCCUGUGGCCCCCUUUUGGUCUGUU